UCAAACAAAAAUAAAAUGCUUCGCUGGGCGCAGCUUGAUACGACCGCAGAGGUCGAACCCUGAACAGUUGGGGCAAGUAUGGACACAACAUUCAAGCUUGAUACAGCUCUGAAUUUGGAUUGUGAUUAAAUAUUUGACACAGCAUAGGUUCUGACACAGAAAGAAUGUGGUCUAAGAACUUCAAUUUUUUUAAUUUACCUAUUAUGGUCCAAUGUCCAAAAUCAAAAUACAUGGUUAGAUUCAGCAUAUCAAAGAACCCCAUAUAUUCAAUUUUUGUUGAAAUCAAACAAAGUUUAAUUUUGGACCCCAACUUGAACAAACUUGAAAACUGGUCCCAUAAUCAAAUAUCUAAACACAUGUUUAGAUUCAGCAUAUCAAAGUACCCCAAGAAUUCAAUUUUUGUUAAAAUCAAACUAAGUUUAAUUUUGGACCCUUUGGACCUUAAUGUAGACCAAUUUAAAAAACGGGACCCAAAAUUAAAAAUCUAAAAACACGGUUAGAUUUGGCAUAUCAAAGAACCCCAAUAAUUAAAUUUUUGAUGAAAUCAAACAAAGUUUAAUUUUGGACCCUUUUGACCUCAAUAUGAACCAAUUUGAUAGCGGGCCCACAAAUAAAAAAUCUAAAUACAUGGUAAGAUUCAGCAUAUCAAAGAACCCCAUAUAUUCAAUUUUUGUUGAAAUCAAACAAAGUUUAAUUUUGGACCCCAAUUUGGACCAACUUGAAAACUUGGCCAAAAAUCUAAAAUCUAAAUACAUGUUUAGAUUCAGCAUAUCAAAGAACCCCAUAUAUUCAAUUUUUGUUGAAAUCAAACAAAGUUUAAUUUUGUUGGACCCCAACUUGGACCAACUUGUAAACUGGUUAAAUAAUCAAAAAUCUAAACACAUGUUUAGAUUCAGCAUAUCAAAGAACCCCAAAAAUUCAAUUUUUGUUAAAAUCAAACUAAGUUUAAUUUUGGACCCUUUGGACCUUAAUGUAGACCAAUUUAAAAAACGGGACCCAAAAUUAAAAAUCUAAAUACACGGUUAGAUUUGGCAUAUCAAAGAACCACAAUAAUUAAAUUUUUGAUGAAAUCAAACAAAGUUUAAUUUUGGACCCUUUUGACCUCAAUAUGAACCAAUUUGAUAGCGGGCCCACAAAUAAAAAAUCUAAAUACAUGGUAAGAUUCAGCAUAUCAAAGAACCCCAUAUAUUCAAUUUUUGUUGAAAUCAAACAAAGUUUAAUUUUGGACCCCAGUUUGGACCAACUUGAAAACUGGGCCAAAAAUCUAAAAUCUAAAUACAUGUUUAGAUUCAGCAUAUCAAAGAACCCCAUAUAUUCAAUUUUUGUUGAAAUCAAACAAAGUUUAAUUUUGGACCCCAACUUGGACCAACUUGAAAACUGGGCCCAUAAUCAAAAAUCUAAACACAUGUUUAGAUUCAGCAUAUCAAAGAACCCCAAGAAUUCAAUUUUUGUUAAAAUCAAACUAAGUUUAAUUUUGGACCCUUUGGACCUUAAUGUAGACCAAUUUAAAAAACGGGACCCAAAAUUAAAAAUCUAAAUACACGGUUAGAUUUGGUAUAUCAAAGAACCCCAAUAAUUCAAUUUUUGAUGAAAUCAAACAAAGUUUAAUUUUGGACCCUUUUGACCUCAACAUGAACCAAUUUGAUAGCGGGGUCCACAAAUAAAAAAUCUAAAUACAUGGUUAGAUUCAGCAAAUCAAAGAACCCCAUAUAUUCAAUUUUUGUUGAAAUCAAACAAA